UACGUAGGUGACCAGCGUUGUCCGGAUUUACUGGGCGUAAAGAGCGCGCAGGCGGUCGUUCAAGUCGAGUGUGAAAGCCCCCCGGCUCAACUGGGGAGGGUCACUCGAUACUGAUCGACUUGAAGGCAGGAGAGGGAAGCGGAAUUCCCGGUGUAGUGGUGAAAUGCGUAGAUAUCGGAAGGAACAUCAGUGGCGAAAGCGACUUCCUGGACCAGUACCGACGUUCAGGCACGAAAGCGUGGGGAGCAAACAGGA
rnacentral:rRNA from 1 species